UACGUAGGGGGCAAGCGUUGUCCGGAUUUAUUGGGCGUAAAGAGCUCGUAGGCGGUUUGUCGCGUCGGCUGUGAAAACUCGGGGCUCAACCCCGAGCCUGCAGUCGAUACGGGCAGACUAGAGUGCUGUAGGGGAGACUGGAAUUCCUGGUGUAGCGGUGAAAUGCGCAGAUAUCAGGAGGAACACCGGUGGCGAAGGCGGGUCUCUGGGCCGUAACUGACGCUGAGGAGCGAAAGCGUGGGGAGCGAACAGG
rnacentral:rRNA from 1 species